rnacentral:rRNA from 1 species
UACAGAGGUCUCAAGCGUUGUUCGGAUUCAUUGGGCGUAAAGGGUGCGUAGGCGGCGCGGUAAGUCGGGUGUGAAAUCUCGGAGCUUAGCUCCGAGACUGCAUUCGAUACUGCCGUGCUUGAGGACUGGAGAGGAGACUGGAAUUUACGGUGUAGCGGUGAAAUGCGUAGAUAUCGUAAGGAAGACCAGUGGCGAAGGCGGGUCUCUGGACAGUUCCUGACGCUGAGGCACGAAGGUCAGGGGAGCAAACGGG